rnacentral:rRNA from 1 species
UGGGGAAUUUUGCACAAUGGGGGAAACCCUGAUGCAGCGACGCCGCGUGAUUUAGAAGGCCUUCGGGUUGUAAAAAUCUUUUCUAUGGGAAGAAAAUGACAGUACCAUAGGAAUAAGGACCGGCUAAUUACGUGCCAGCAGCCGCGGUAAUACGUAAGGUCCGAGCGUUGUCCGGAAUCAUUGGGCGUAAAGGGUACGUAGGCGGGUAAGCAAGUUAGAAGUGAAAUCCUAUAGCUCAACUAUAGUAAGCUUUUAAAACUGCUCAUCUUGAGGUAUGGAAGGGAAAGUGGAAUUCCUAGUGUAGCGGUGAAAUGCGCAGAUAUUAGGAGGAAUACCGGUGGCGAAGGCGACUUUCUGGCCAUAACCUGACGCUGAGUUACGAAAGCGUGGGUAGCAAAGAGG